rnacentral:rRNA from 1 species
UGGGGAAUAUUGGACAAUGGGCGAAAGCCUGAUCCAGCCAUGCCGCGUGUGUGAAGAAGGUCUUCGGAUUGUAAAGCACUUUAAGUUGGGAGGAAGGGCAGUAAGCGAAUACCUUGCUGUUUUGACGUUACUCGCAGAAUAAGCACCGGCUAACUCUGUGCCAGCAGCCGCGGUAAUACAGAGGGUGCGAGCGUUAAUCGGAUUUACUGGGCGUAAAGCGUGCGUAGGCGGCUAAUUGAGUCGGAUGUGAAAUCCCCGAGCUUAACUUGGGAAUUGCAUUCGAUACUGGUUAGCUAGAGUGUGGGAGAGGAUGGUAGAAUUCCAGGUGUAGCGGUGAAAUGCGUAGAUAUAGGAAGGAACACCAGUGGCGAAGGCGACCACCUGGGCUCAUACUGACACUGAGGUGCGAAAGCGUGGGGAGCAAACAGG